UCGCAGGUUCGAUCCCCGGCAGCGGCAGCCAAAGAGACGCCCCCCCCCGAAAAAACGGCGGUGGAAGAAGGUGAUGGAGAAGGCAGUCAGAAUUCGGAGGGGCCAUCAGAGAUUUCAUUAGGAAUAAAAAAGAUAGAAUUUAAA